UGGCUCUCGCAUCGAUGAAGAACGCAGCGAAAUGCGAUAAGUAAUGUGAAUUGCAGAAUUCAGUGAAUCAUCGAAUCUUUGAACGCACCUUGCACCCUUUGGUAUUCCGAAGGGUACGCCUGUUUGAGCGUCAUUAAUCUCUCAAAGCCUUCAGUUUGCUUGCGAAUCGAUUGCUUUGGAUGUGAGGGUUGCUGGUUGUCGACCGAUCAGACUCCCUUUAAAUGCAUUAGUGGUUAUCUGAUCCACUUAAGUGUGAUAGUCUAUCUACGCUUGACUUGGAUUCGGAAUUGACUGCUUCUAACUGUCCAUCUAUCGGACAAUAGACACUGAUUGAUAGCUUUCAGUCGAAAGACUGGUCGUGAAGUAUGUUAACCCUUACUUCAAACCCCCUUCAAUCGGAGUCGAUUUGACUAUUUGACCUCAAAUCAGGUGGGACUACCCGCUGA
rnacentral:misc_RNA from 1 species